UAACAGAAGUAGGCAACGCCGUCAGUAGCACGCCCGCUCAUUAGUCCACAAACUCAAUUUAUUCUCCGUCGUCUCCCCAACCCAUCUUCCCCACCCGUCCUCUUUUUCUCUCCCCAACCUCCGCCCACCUCCUUCCCCUGACGACUGGCCGCACCUCCUUCUCCCCGUCGAAUGGCCACAUCCCUGUGCCGCCUCGCCACCAAGGUGCGUCGCGCCCUGCUCCACCCCGGCGGGCCGCGCCUCCCUGAUUUUCUAUUCAUCUCCCUGAUUUCCCGCAAAAAUAAAGCCAUGUUUGCUAUCUUUUGCUGCACCUGAGGUGCCUUUUCUAUUCUUAGUUCUCCAAAUCUUUUCUCAGUCCGGUGGUUCUUGUGUGCUGAGGAUCUGGGCUUCCCAGAUCUGGACAUCGGUGGGAUUGAAUGGGUCAACAGGGAUUGUAUGCUUGUUUUUCUGUCCAUUUUUUUUGGCUCCAGAUCCUUCUUUAAUGAUAUUCUUCUCCCUCGUCUCUUGCAUCCAUGAGUUCGUCAUUCCUCAAUCUGCUUAUUUUCUCCUCUUCAACCUCCUUUAAUGGAGGACCUUCGGGUUUCUAGAGGAAGCAGCAGUACGUAGAGGGGAUUAGUGACGUUCUUCCCUCAAGCUGUUAUCCAGUGCCCAUCGAAGGGCCUUUACUUAGCAGCUAGAGCAUAGGCUUCUAAAAAAUCCAGAGCGUCGGUGGCCAGUUCUCCCUCUCACACGGUUAAAAAGAAAGUUCUUGCUCUUAAUUUCAUUCCAGAGAAUGGUCUAUUGGAGCGGCUUUCCGUUCGCUGGAGUAACUGAGUUACAGCCUGUGAUGCUUUUUACCUCAGGUUUAAUACUAGUAUAAUAUAGCAUGGUUUCUAUCUUAAAAAAAUAACUGUGCUAUCUGAAGCGAGAGAUGGAGCUGGAUCAGAUAGAAGAUUCUUUUUGUUUCAGAAAUUUGUUGCAAGAGAUUUUGGAGGUUGGGAAAAAGCAAGUAUGUGAGCCAGAAGGCAUCCCACACGUGCAUCGCCAUUCGUGCCAGCACUUGCUGCUUACUGCUUAUUUGCUGACGGCUUAUUGCAGAGCUGCGUGGCAGCCGGAAACCUCGACGUCUCGUGCAUACUCGGAAUGCUAUCUCGAUGUGGGCUUUUCCUCCAUGACCAGGCCGCGCGACCCUGCCCUCCGCGUCGCCAUCUGGUUCCUGGUUGGGGAGGCGCUGCCCUCGACCUGGCCAAGAAGAGUCCACGUGCUCGUGCUCGUCUGACCACUUAUCCGGUGUGACUACUGGACGAGAGAGGAGCAGAGCUGAGGGCACGCCAGAGGCGGACGCGCUGAGCGGUGGCAGAGGGAGGGCUGGCGGUGACAAGAGCUCCUCGCCCAUCCCCACCGGAUUCGUGCUUCCGCGCGGAGUUCCACUCGAGCGCCAACCCGGGGAGGUGGCCGUGCCUGCAUCCCUUGGCAACUAGACAUUGCCUUCCACACUCCAAACUGAACAUAUCUACAUGUGAUGAAAAAUUAACCUAAAUGUUGGGAAAGUUUUGAAGCCCACACCAGCUACAUUUUGUUCCUGGCACGGCUGCUAAUAAAAUGCACUGUUUUGCAUCCA